UGUUUCGACACACUAUCAUUAACUGAAUCCAUAGGUUAAUGAGGCGAACCGGGGGAACUGAAACAUCUAAGUACCCCGAGGAAAAGAAAUCAACCGAGAUUCCCCCAGUAGCGGCGAGCGAACGGGGAGGAGCCCAGAGCCUGAAUCAGUGUGUGUGUUAGUGGAAGCGUCUGGAAAGGCGCGCGAUACAGGGUGACAGCCCCGUACACAAAAAUGCACAUAUUGUGAGCUCGAUGAGUAGGGCGGGACACGUGGUAUCCUGUCUGAAUAUGGGGGGACCAUCCUCCAAGGCUAAAUAC
rnacentral:rRNA from 1 species